ACAACAGAAUCCAGAACAGGAAACCGUUCCAAAUGCUUAGCCCUGUGCAAAGCUGGUUCCUUCUCGCCAACCGGACUAGAGCCUUGUUUUGUAUGUGACAAAGGGCUUUAUCAGGAAAUGGAGGGAGAGCGCCAUUGCUUAAAAUGCGGUGUCAACGAAACAACUCCUUCUGAAGGAUCCAACAAUUCUAUGCAAUGUGGAGGGAUUGAUUUUUCAACCAUAUGUCAAGUCAUCAGAAAAAGCGCCUAUUUACAAAAGUCGUGUUCGACUGAUAUGUACGUACCUGCGGUAAAAAUAGAAACCAGCUGCAGUCAAAGCAACCAAAAUAAUUACAGCGACAAGAAGUCCGACGAUGAGGCCAGUGUCAGUAUCUUCCUUGGUGGAAUCAGGUUCUGUUGAGCAACAGAGACAGUCCCGUUAACUAGAACUAGGUGAAGACCAACUCGAGGGUGACAAAACUCCAUAAACUGACCACUAUGGGUGCUGGCGAGGAGAAUGUCCACCAUGUCAGUCUGGCCAACGAUCUUGAGGAUACCAGAUACCCGAUGAUCCGCAAACCCAAACGCUAGGCGAGAAAUUUUUGUCAAAAUCAAACCGGCUAUUGCAAGACGGUGAACACAUCUUUCCAAACAUCCAGUCAUCACAAGGCUUGGCUCCGUUGAUAGGAGGUCUCAGGUACUUACAUGGUUUUGCUGAGAAAGGAAAUGCACAGUUUACUUAUUCUUUAUUUCCUUACUUUUUUCUUCAUGUUUUAGAAGCAAUUCAAGUGAUAUAAAAAAGCUAGUGACGAUUGAUCUAAAAAAAUAAUUGGAUGUGGGUAUAAUUUUUGGACAUUGGCUCGUAUUCCGUAGUGGUAAAAGUUCUGUAAACAGAAAAAAAAAAAAGAACGAUUGCAAACGUUGCCCCAUAGAGUGUUAUGCUGUUGACGCCAAGUUCUCUCCUAGAAUGGUAUUUUGUAAAAUUACUCAAAGGUCUUAGAAAUGUUUUUGAUAUUUAACUAGACACGUUACUGAUAAUGAUAAAAUGACUUUCUAAACUGUAUUUUCAGGUUUCUCUGGGGUUUGUGUUUUUCACGAUCAAAUUUAAGAUUAGCGAAGUUUGUAUGUUUCUCUUUUUUUCUAAGAAGCGCACUAUUUUACUUUAAUAGAGUUACCUAAAGUACUCAUGUUGUUAACUUAUUCAUAGUACCAAGGGAUCAUCAAAAUACAUUUAGUUAUCAUUUCUUGCAAUAAUUUUAUCUUAAUCUUUUGUUUUUAACUUGGAUUCACGGAGAAAAUGGACAAGCGAAUUUUGAAUUCUCAAGCAGAAGCAAUUGAGAAAGUCGUAGCUGAAAAUAAAGAUUUUCUAAUAUCAAGUAUCUUAAAGGAAACCUGUCAGGAACACAAAACCAAGUAAAACUUAUCAACUUGAUUGAGGCGCUACGCGCGGCUGAGUUUUAAAACGUUGCG